rnacentral:rRNA from 1 species
AUGUUCAUCGGGAGGGGUCUGGUGUACUGCAAAAUGGAGGAAACAGACUUGUGUUGGACCUCCUACGGUCGAAACGGGGUCCUGUUGAUCGGGAGGGGUGUGGCGUACCGCAAAAUGGACAAAAUAGACUUGUGUUGGAGCGCUAUGAUCGAAACGGGGGUCCUGUUCAUCGGGAGGGGUGUGGCAUACCGUAAAACGAGACUCCACGGGAUACUGUUCAUCUCCACCGUCGAGCUCCUCAAGCCUCCACGAGCUACUGUUCAUCCACCGUCGACCUCCUCCAGCCUCCACCUGCGACUGUUCAUCCACAGGCUCCUGUUCAUCCAGCCUCCACCAUGCGCUACUCAAAUGACUACUGUUCAACCACCCCUCUCCACGGGCUCCUGUUCAACCACCCCUCCACGGGCUACUGUUCAUCCACCCCUUCACCAUCUACUGUUCAUCCAGCCCUCCACGGGGUCGUCCUGUUCAUCCAGUCCCAACCAGCUCGAUCGAUCGGGGUCCUGUUCAUCCAGAGGCAACACCACGUGGUCCUAUUCAUCCACCCCCACCGCUCACUGUUCAUCCACCCCCCCCGCAACUCUCACUGUUCAUCCAGAGGCAGCAACGAUCGGCUUCAGUUAG